GGCUUCGGCCUGGGGCAAAGCCGCGAACGGGUGAGUAACACGUGGAUAACCUGCCCCGAAGACCGGGACAACCCGGGGAAACCCGGGCUAAUACCGGAUGUGGUCAUCGUUCAUAAGGGCGAUGAGCAAAGGAAGCUUCGGCCUCCGCUUCGGGAGGGGUCCGCGGCCCAUUAGCUUGUUGGUGAGGUAACGGCUCACCAAGGCAACGAUGGGUAGCUGGUCUGAGAGGACGAUCAGCCACACUGGGACUGAGACACGGCCCAGACUCCUACGGGAGGCAGCAGUGGGGAAUCUUGCGCAAUGCGCGAAAGCGUGACGCAGCAACGCCGCGUGGGUGAAGAAGGCUUUCGGGUCGUAAAGCCCUUUCAGCGGGGACGAAGCUUCGGCAGCGAAUAGCCGUCCGGAGUGACGGUACCCGCAGAAGAAGCCCCGGCUAACUACGUGCCAGCAGCCGCGGUAAUACGUAGGGGGCAAGCGUUGUCCGGAAUCAUUGGGCGUAAAGAGCGCGUAGGCUGCCAGAUAAGUCCGGUGUGAAAGUCACAGGCUCAACCUGUGAAUGCCGCUGGAAACUGUCUGGCUAGAGUCCGGAAGGGGCGAGUGGAAUUCCUGGUGUAGCGGUGAAAUGCGCAGGUAUCAGGAGGAACACCAAUGGCGAAGGCAGCUCGCUGGGACGGUACUGA
rnacentral:rRNA from 1 species